CCCUCUCGACACAGACAUUGAGGUGGAGGCUGUGAGCACGGGAGCAGAAGUGGGAUCGUCCCAGCAGUGCUCGGGUGUAACCAGAUACCAACUGCUCACAGAACUCCCAAGACACCGGCUCCAGUGAGGACUCGGCGAUGGAGCCCGCGGGUGGAGCUCAGUCCCUGAGUCCCCGCUCCGGACGGACGGAUGCCCUGUCUAUGCAUGGGCUAACCUCGCCUGACCUCAUCGUCCAACAAUGUCGGGUCAGGGCUUGGGGACAGGACCUGACAGCACGAGGCGGGGUAAAGUAGUCACCGGACCCUUGCCUGGUGCCAGCCCUUGAUCCCCGAGCUCGCUGGAGCAAGUCAAAAGCGCUAGCUUCUUGGUUUCUACAGACCACGCACAUCCCCCAGACCCCCGUCCCUGCGACCUGCUCACCGUUCAAGCGGGCUGGAGAGCGCACUCACUUAAGGCAAGGGCUGCAGCUGCAAGUGGUGCGCCCUGCCCAGCCGGGGGUUUUCAGGAGGGUCCCGCCUCAGACGGGGCGGACCCGGGGCGGGGCAAGGGCCAAGAACGCUUAAAGGCGCCGCAGCGCAGAAGGCGGGAGGACUGCUUGAGACAGAGGGACAGUUGACCAGAGCAAGGGUUAAAGGUUCGGGGAGUCUGGACCUACGAAGGCAGCUGCAGUGGUCUCCACCCGUGAGAACCUCAGCCUCCACCGGGAGCCCGUAGGCUUGUGCCGCAGUAGGAAACUUUCUGCCUAGAAAGUUAGCUGAAGACUGUGGGCGUGUUUAUGUGGGAAGAAGCCUCUUAGUUUAGAGGCUGGCAAGGUAAAUGGAGGCACAGGAAGGCCUUUCCCCGACCCCAGCUGACUAGUGUGUGACAGGACUGGGACUUGCAGGCCGGGACAGCACCCCCACGUGAUCUUGCUCAUCUCUUACCUCAAGCCUGGGCAGGGACUAACAGUGAGGUCACUCUUUGCCCAGGGCCCUAGGGGCGUGUUUGGUUUUGGGACCCAGGGUUCAGACCUGACUUCUCCCUGCCUUUCAUCUCCUUUUCUAUGACCUGGUAUCUCUUCCUAAAUCCUGGAGGGAUCACAGCGGGAGACCUCAGCGGGAGGAGGCUGGCCAGGGUUCUUUUUGUCUCUGAGGGUGGAGGACAGCACAGUUCAGGGAUGGAGAGAAAGCCCCCCACCCUUUCAGGCUUCAGUUGAACAGAGUCACCCUGGGUGGAGUUCUUCACACGUUAGAGCCCUCCCUUGAACCUGAGAUUCCAAGAUGUCAAUAUCCAGCCCCGUCCAACCUUUCUAUUCUCUGUUCCCUCCCCAAGUCCUACACAGCCCUAUAUUCCAGUCCCACUGAUUGUCAAGCGUUCUCUUCUGUGCCUUUACAAAGGCUAUUCCUCUGCCUAGGAUAGUUUCCCUUCCUUGACUGGCUCCCCACCUUUACCUGCUGUGUGACUGUUGUGCACAUUACUAAAGCAUUCUAUGCUUGAGUUCCCUGGUCCAUAAAACAGAGCUAGUAGUACUACCUAAUUCAUAGAAUUGUAGAGAACUAAACAGUCCACCUAGAGGGCUUAGAGCAGUGCCUGGCACAUAGUGAAUACUACUAUUAUUACCACCAUCUGUGAGGGUCCUGAGGACUCCCCUCCAAUAUGUGGCAUUUGUCCCAGCACACGAUAUUAGCGUUCACUAAAUGUUUGUGGCCUUGAAUGCACCAUCUUCCUUUGUGCUACCACAAUAACCAACACAUAGCUUUAUCACAGAACUUAUCACAUCAUAUGGCAACGAUUUCUUUACUUGUCUGCCUCACUGACUAGAAAGAAAGAACUCAAGGGCAAAGGCAUGUCUUCAAGAACCUUAUUUUCUCAGUAUCUACUUCAAUGGCUGGCCUUUAGUAGCUGGCCUCAGUAAGCACUCAAUAAAUGUCUG